CGGAUUGAAGGCUGAAAUUCGCCUUUAUGAAGCCGGAAUUGCUGUAAUGGCAGGUCAGCAUACUGCCGUGAAUACGUUCCCGGGCCUUGUACACACCGCCCGUCACACCAUGAGAGUUGGGAAUACCCGAAGCCUGUGAGCUAACAGUAAUGAAGCAGCAGUCGAAGGUAGAAUCAAUGAUUGGGGUGAAGUCGUAACAAGGUAUC
rnacentral:rRNA from 1 species